CGGUCGCGUAACACGUAAGCAACCUGCCCUGAAGUGGGGGACAACAUCCCGAAAGGGGUGCUAAUACCGCAUGUGGUCACGAGUCGGCAUCGACUUGUGUCUAAAGAUUUAUCGCUUCAGGAUGGGCUUGCGGCCUAUCAGGUAGUUGGUGGGGUAAUGGCCUACCAAGCCGACGACGGGUAGCUGGUCUGAGAGGACGAUCAGCCGGAUUGGGACUGAGAUACGGCCCAGACUCCUACGGGGGGCAGCAAUUAGGAAUCUUGCGCAAUGGGGGAAACCCUGACGCAGCGACGUCGCGUGAAGGAUGAAGGCCCUCGGGUCGUAAACUUCUUUUGAGUGGGAAGAAAUUUGACGGUACCACUCGAAUAAGCCCCGGCUAACUACGUGCCAGCAGCCGCGGUAAUACGUAGGGGGCGAGCGUUGUCCGAAGUUACUGGGCGUAAAGCGCGCGUAGGCGGUUAUUUAAGUCUGGGGUGAAAGGUUCAGCGCUCAACGUGAACAGUGCCUUGGAUACU
rnacentral:rRNA from 1 species